GCCGGGCGUGGUGGCGCACGCCUGUAAUCCCAGCACUUUGGGAGGCCGAGGUGGGUGGAUCACUUGAGGUCAGGAGUUUGAGACCAGCCUGGCCAAUAUGGUGAAACCCCAUCUCUA
rnacentral:sRNA from 1 species